UCCCCUAGUAACGGCGAGUGAAGAGGGAAGAGCUCAAAUUUAAAAUCUGGCGGUCUAAGGCCGUCCGAGUUGUAAUCUAGAGAAGUGUUUUCCGUGCCGGACCGUGUACAAGUCCCUUGGAACAGGGCGUCAUAGAGGGUGAGAAUCCCGUCCAUGACACGGACUACCGGUGCACUGUGAUACACUUUCGAAGAGUCGAGUUGUUUGGGAAUGCAGCUCAAAAUGGGUGGUAAAUUCCAUCUAAAGCUAAAUACAGGCGAGAGACCGAUAGCGAACAAGUACCGUGAGGGAAAGAUGAAAAGAACUUUGGAAAGAGAGUUAAACAGUACGUGAAAUUGUUGAAAGGGAAACGCUUGAAGUCAGUCGCGUCCGCAGGGACUCAGCCUUGCUUUUGCUUGGUGUACUUCUCUGUGGAUGGGCCAGCAUCGAUUUUAGUCGCCGGAAAAGGGCGGGAGGAAUGUGGCAGCUUGCUGUGUUAUAGCCUCUCGUCGUACACGGUGGCCGGGAUCGAGGACUGCAGCACGCCUUUUGGUCGGGGUUCGCCCACGCCACGUGCUUAGGAUGCUGGCGUAAUGGCUUUAAACGACCCGUCUUGAAACACGGACCAAGGAGUCUAACAUGCCUGCGAGUGUUUGGGUGUAAAACCCAGGCGCGUAAUGAAAGUGAAAAGUUGGGACUCUUUAGUGAGGCACCGACGCCCGAUCCUGAAGUUCUCUGACGGAUUUGAGGCAGAGCAUGUAUGUUGGGACCCGAAAGAUGGUGAACUAUGCCUGAAUAGGGUGAAGCCAGAGGAAACUCUGGUGGAGGCUCGUAGCGAUUCUGACGUGCAAAUCGAUCGUCAAAUUUGGGUAUAGGGGCGAAAGACUAAUCGAACCAUCUAGUAGCUGG
rnacentral:rRNA from 1 species